rnacentral:rRNA from 1 species
UGUGAGUAGUAGAGUUUGAUCCUGGCUCAGAUUGAACGCUGGCGGCAUGCCUUACACAUGCAAGUCGAACGGCAGCGCGGGGCAACCUGGCGGCGAGUGGCGAACGGGUGAGUAAAGUAUCGGAACGUACCCUGGAGUGGGGGAUAACGUAGCGAAAGUUACGCUAAUACCGCAUACGAUCUAAGGAUGAAAGUGGGGGACCGCAAGGCCUCAUGCUCCUGGAGCGGCCGAUAUCUGAUUAGCUAGUUGGUGGGGUAAAGGCCUACCAAGGCAUCGAUCAGUAGCUGGUCUGAGAGGACGACCAGCCACACUGGAACUGAGACACGGUCCAGACUCCUACGGGAGGCAGCAGUGGGGAAUUUUGGACAAUGGGCGCAAGCCUGAUCCAGCAAUGCCGCGUGAGUGAAGAAGGCCUUCGGGUUGUAAAGCUCUUUUGUCAGGGAAGAAACGGUGACACCUAAUACGGGUUGCUAAUGACGGUACCUGAAGAAUAAGCACCGGCUAACUACGUGCCAGCCGCCGCGGUA